rnacentral:sRNA from 1 species
CUCAUCCACCUGCUGCGGACAGAUGAAAUGCACAUGCGUGUCGAUGCCCCCCGCCGUGACAAUCUUGCCCUCGGCCGCCACCACAUCAGUGCAGCUUCCCACCACCAUAUUCGGCGCCACCCCGUCCAUGACAUCUGGGUUUCCGGCCUUUCCAAUACCCACAAUCAUCCCGUCCUUGAUGCCAAUAUCGGCCUUGUAGAUCCCCGUCCAGUCGACAAUAAGCGCAUUCGUAACCACCACGUCAAGCGUGUCCGCGUCGCGACGUCCCGAAGCCUGCCCCAUCCCAUCACGGAG